AGAGUUUGAUCAUGGCUCAGAUUGAACGCUGGCGGCAGGCCUAACACAUGCAAGUCGAGCGGAUGAAGGGAGCUUGCUCCUGGAUUCAGCGGCGGACGGGUGAGUAAUGCCUAGGAAUCUGCCUGGUAGUGGGGGAUAACGUCCGGAAACGGGCGCUAAUACCGCAUACGUCCUGAGGGAGAAAGUGGGGGAUCUUCGGACCUCACGCUAUCAGAUGAGCCUAGGUCGGAUUAGCUAGUUGGUGGGGUAAAGGCCUACCAAGGCGACGAUCCGUAACUGGUCUGAGAGGAUGAUCAGUCACACUGGAACUGAGACACGGUCCAGACUCCUACGGGAGGCAGCAGUGGGGAAUAUUGGACAAUGGGCGAAAGCCUGAUCCAGCCAUGCCGCGUGUGUGAAGAAGGUCUUCGGAUUGUAAAGCACUUUAAGUUGGGAGGAAGGGCAGUAAGUUAAUACCUUGCUGUUUUGACGUUACCAACAGAAUAAGCACCGGCUAACUUCGUGCCAGCAGCCGCGGUAAUACGAAGGGUGCAAGCGUUAAUCGGAAUUACUGGGCGUAAAGCGCGCGUAGGUGGUUCAGCAAGUUGGAUGUGAAAUCCCCGGGCUCAACCUGGGAACUGCAUCCAAAACUACUGAGCUAGAGUACGGUAGAGGGUGGUGGAAUUUCCUGUGUAGCGGUGAAAUGCGUAGAUAUAGGAAGGAACACCAGUGGCGAAGGCGACCACCUGGACUGAUACUGACACUGAGGUGCGAAAGCGUGGGGAGAAACAGGAUUAGAUACCCUGGUAGUCCACGCCGUAAACGAUGUCGACUAGCCGUUGGGAUCCUUGAGAUCUUAGUGGCGCAGCUAACGCGAUAAGUCGACCGCCUGGGGAGUACGGCCGCAAGGUUAAAACUCAAAUGAAUUGACGGGGGCCCGCACAAGCGGUGGAGCAUGUGGUUUAAUUCGAAGCAACGCGAAGAACCUUACCUGGCCUUGACAUGCUGAGAACUUUCCAGAGAUGGAUUGGUGCCUUCGGGAACUCAGACACAGGUGCUGCAUGGCUGUCGUCAGCUCGUGUCGUGAGAUGUUGGGUUAAGUCCCGUAACGAGCGCAACCCUUGUCCUUAGUUACCAGCACCUCGGGUGGGCACUCUAAGGAGACUGCCGGUGACAAACCGGAGGAAGGUGGGGAUGACGUCAAGUCAUCAUGGCCCUUACGGCCAGGGCUACACACGUGCUACAAUGGUCGGUACAAAGGGUUGCCAAGCCGCGAGGUGGAGCUAAUCCCAUAAAACCGAUCGUAGUCCGGAUCGCAGUCUGCAACUCGACUGCGUGAAGUCGGAAUCGCUAGUAAUCGUGAAUCAGAAUGUCACGGUGAAUACGUUCCCGGGCCUUGUACACACCGCCCGUCACACCAUGGGAGUGGGUUGCUCCAGAAGUAGCUAGUCUAACCGCAAGGGGGACGGUUACCACGGAGUGAUUCAUGACUGGGGUGAAGUCGUAACAAGGUAGCCGUAGGGGAACCUGCGGCUG
rnacentral:rRNA from 1 species